UAUUUUUUAAGUGCUUUAAAAGUAUUUCUCAUCAUUUGGGAGAAUAUAUAAUAUGCCUAAGUAAAGAGGACUAAUGGCUUCUUAUUCUGAGAAUUCGUUAAUAAUUUUUAAAAUGUUUCUUUUGGAGCAUACGAAAAUUAGGAAAUUGAGAAAAGCACAGAGAUAACUCCGAAGCACAACUUGGUUCUUGAAGGCAGCCCAAUAGUAGACUUCUUACUGAACAGGAAGUAAUGCUAGCUUUCCAUCCAGAUGUGCAUUAAUUGGGGAG
rnacentral:lncRNA from 1 species